GACGAACGCUGGCGGCGUGCUUAACACAUGCAAGUCGAACGGAAAGGCCCUGCUGUUGUUGGGUGCUCGAGUGGCGAACGGUUGAGUAACACGUGAGUAACCUUCCCUUGACUUUGGGAUAACUUCAGGAAACUGGGGCUAAUACCGGAUAGGAGCUCCUGCUGCAUGGUGGUGGUUGGAAAGUUUCGGCGGUUGGGUAUGGACUCGCGGCUUAUCAGCUUGUUGGUGGGGUAGUGGCUUACCAAGGCUUUGACGGGUAGCCGGCCUGAGAGGGUGACCGGCCACAUUGGGACUGGGAUACGGCCCAGACUCCUACGGGAGGCAGAAGUGGGGAAUAUUGCAAAAUGGGCGGAAGCCUGAUGCAGCAACGCCGCGUGCGGGAUGACGGCCUUCGGGUUGUAAACCGUUUUCGCCUGUGACGAAGCGUGAGUGACGGUAAUGGGUAAAGAAGCACCGGCUAACUACGUG
rnacentral:rRNA from 1 species